rnacentral:snRNA from 1 species
AUACUUACCUGGCAGGGGAGAUACCAUGAUCACGAAGAUGGUUUUCCCAGAGCGAGGCUUAUCCAUUACACUCCGGAUGUGCUGACCCCUGCGAUUUCCCCAAAUGUGGGAAACUCGACUGCAUAAUUUGUGGUAGUGGGGGACUGCGUUCGCGCUUUCCCCUG